AGCGAACGCUGGCGGCAGGCCUAACACAUGCAAGUCGAGCGCCCCGCAAGGGGAGCGGCGGACGGGUGAGUAACACGUGGGAACGUGCCCUUCGGUUCGGGAUAACUCAGGGAAACUUGAGCUAACACCGGAUACGCCCUUCGGGGGAAAGGUUACGCCGAUGGAGCGGCCCGCGUCUGAUUAGCUAGUUGGUGAGGUAAAGGCUCACCAAGGCUACGAUCAGUAGCUGGUCUGAGAGGAUGAUCAGCCACACUGGGACUGAGACACGGCCCAGACUCCUACGGGAGGCAGCAGUGGGGAAUCUUGCGCAAUGGGCGAAAGCCUGACGCAGCCAUGCCGCGUGAAUGAUGAAGGUCUUAGGAUUGUAAAAUUCUUUCAGCGGGGACGAUAAUGACGGUACCCGCAGAAGAAGCCCCGGCUAACUUCGUGCCAGCAGCCGCGGUAAUACGAAGGGGGCUAGCGUUGCUCGGAUUUACUGGGCGUAAAGGGAGCGUAGGCGGAACGACAAGUCAGGGGUGAAAGCCCGGGGCUCAACCUCGGAAUUGCCCUUGAGACUGUCGAUCUAGAGUUUGGGAGAGGUGUGUGGAACUCCGAGUGUAGAGGUGAAAUUCGUAGAUAUUCGGAAGAACACCAGUGGCGAAGGCGACACACUGGCCCAAUA
rnacentral:rRNA from 1 species